UGAACAACACUGCGAUUUCUGCCCCCACAGACUGGACGACAGGGCGACAGGAGGAAGCUCCACACACAAGCCCCGAUUGAAAUGAGACUCACGGCUGUCCCCUUCCUCCUGAACCCAUCUACUGGGCCAUGCCCCUCCUGCUCGCACAUCUCAAAACAAAACAAGAUGGACCAAGCAGACCUCCUGCCAUCUUGCAUAUCUUCUGGCUUCUGUCCCCUACCCCUCAUUCCCCCUAACAGGGAAGUUUCUUUACAGAUAUGUACAUUUCAAUAUUUCAAACACUUCAGAAAAGCAGAGAAUAAAUCACCACUUUGUUGGUUUCUAACAAAACGUGACAAAUACAGCUGAAACUCCCUUUGAGCCCCUCCUCAAUCUCAUUACCUUUCUUCCUUCCUAGAGGCAACUGCUGACCCAAAACUAGUCAGCUUGGCAGUGGUUAUUUGCUUGUACUACAAAUAUACCUGUACAUAUGCCAUAUCACUUUCGCGUCCGUCUUACGUAGGCGAUAGCACGUUUUUCAUAUUCUGCAACUUGCUUCUUACCCAACAUUACAUUUUCGAGAUUUAUCCUCGUUAAUACACAUAGCUCUCGUGCAAUUUAAUUUUUGGAGAGCACUCUAUUAUACGACUGUACUACCCCUUACUGUCCAGUUUCUUAGAAGACUAGUUUCUACUCUUCAUCGUCUGUCUGCCCUCCCAUCUCCUCUUUAGCUCUCUCCUGCUCGCCUUCUGCCCCCAUCCCACCACCUGUCAGGUUCUCCAGUGGUACGCCCCAUGGACGCUUUCAGCCCUUAUCUUACUGGACCUCUGUGCCACAUUCUUGUCUGGAUUACUUCUUCCUCCUGAGGCUCUCCUUCCUUUCUGAGCUCUCAAUUGGCAUCUCCUCCAAGAAUGAUCCCUCUUUUGCCAUCCCCCUAGAUCAGUGGUUCUCAAUAGGUGGAGAAGGGGGCAAUUUUGUGCCCCAGGGAACAUUUAACAACGUCUGGAGACGCUGGUUGUCAUAGGGCAGGUAUUACUGACAUCUAACAGGUAUAGGCUGGGGAUGCUGCUUAACAUCCUACAGUGACAAGACAGUCCCAAACCACAAAGAACUAUCUGGCUCCAAAUGCUAACAGUGCCAAGGCUGAGAACCCCCAGUCUAGAGAUUGAUCUUCUAUAAGGUUCCGGUCUGACCCCUCUUCCCUUCCUGUGCUCUACCCCUCUUGCAUCACCUCACUUGCUCUUUGGAGACUGUUGAAACAGCUGGACAGGCUAGCAUAUUUCCUAGGAUUCCUACCUGACAGCUUGCCUUGGGGGCUAGACUUACCCGGACGCUGGGCCGCUCUGGGGGGACCUCGGACACCAUGUUGUGGUUGGAUGUGUCGCUGUUGGUGAUAGCCGGGCGUUUUCCACCUGCUUUAUUGGACAUGUCCAAGGCCGAUCUGAUUUCAGGUUGAUGAAAGCAGAAGAAAGGGACUGGUCAGAACCCAGAAAGAAUGGAAGGGCCCUAGCUGUAUUCCCUACCCUGCCACCCACUGUUCCAGCAUCAGCACAAAAUCACAUCCCCUAAGUGCUAUCAAGAGGUCACCUCAGCUGCUCCUUCCGCUCUUCUGAGACCACAUGCCAGUAAUCUUGGUUGGGCAUUUUCCUCUUUCUUUCCUGUAAACUUAUUUUAAAAACCUAGACCUUAGGACUCUGGAACUCCUUUUCCUUCUAACUGAAGAGACACAAUGCCUCAGUGGAUAUGAGAGUCAUUUAAUGAUCUUUCUUUCCUUCCAUUCGCUGAGCCGAGAUCCACAGAGGAAGCCGAGAGGAAUUCACAUUUGGCUCUCAGGGUUAUAUCACCUUCCCUCAGCACCUCCCUCAAAGGCCCCUGGGUGAUACGCCCACCUCAAAACUAUCUCACUCCUCGAGCCUGAGAUCUGGGAGACACUGGGAAAAGUGGGUGAGGUCAACAAGCUGGAUGGCCCUUAGAAGCUUCCAUUCCUCAGGACUGAGAGAUCCAGAAACUCCAUUCCUGAGCUCGGGCUGGGACCCACUCACGCUUCCAGUCCAGGGUCCCUGCAUCUAAGGGGCCACUUGAUGUACUGAGGCCCCAGGGACCGUCAGGCAUCGAGCUCCCAAACCAGCCAUGUUCAGAUAGAAUCCAAAGCCCUGUGCAGAGAAGCCCGGUCAGGUCUGGCAGGGCCCUCGCUCAGAAGCCCCCGACCCAGCGAGCCACCCAUCAGCCCGCUCACGGAACUCGGCUCACCGGCCACUGAAGAAAUCCCUACCUGACCCGCCGAUCAGCCCGAAACUUCAACAUCCUUUUGGCAGCUCUGUCCCCUGUUCGGCAGCCUCAGAGGACCUGCCAGCCACCCUGCUCCUACCAUCCCUCUGAGAAGCCACAGUCAUUUCCAAAAGGGCAGGAAUAGGGCGUCCUCUGCCAAGCAAGCUUGGAAUGUCCUGAAAUGCUAGGCCACUGGGCUGAGCGGCUAAAAGCUUGGAUUAUCUUAUCUUCAAACUGAUGAUGACGGCGACGACGAUGACGAUUUUACUUUAUAUGAUUCCAUUCAUCUUCUGAAAAAUGAAGAUAACCGGGGUGGAUAUUCAGCACAGCCAUGCUAUGUUAUGAAAACGUUGAAAUUCUCCCUUAUUGAAGCUGAGGCGGCCCAGCUGUCUGCUUCCGAGCCUCCAGAAGGUCACUGGAACCAGCUCUCUUCAUUCCUAGCUCAGCAGAUUUGGUUCUGGUGUCCCAGACAACAGUCCCACCCCACCUCACCCCAAGGGAAAGCAUUCGACAGAGUAAGUGUUCAGAGAACAAUGCAACCAGACUAAUGUCCCUCCUUCCACACCCUCCAAGGCUACAAAUGCCUUCUCAGUUAUCAAUCCAGCAACUGGGGAGGGUCAAGUCGUCCUGUGCCUCAGCUUCCUUGUGUCAACAAUGAACCAAUGGUGCAGCCACUCUGGAAAACAGUAUGGAGGUUCCUAAAAAAACUAAAAAGAGAACUACCCUACGACCCAGCAAUUGCACUACUAGGCAUUUAACCACGGGAUACAGGCGUGCUGUUUCAAAGGGACACAUGCACCCCCAUGUUGAUAGCAGCACUAUCGACAACAGCCAAAGUAUGGAAAGAGCCCAAAUGUCCAUCGAUGGAUGAAUGGAUAAAGAUGAUGUGGUAUAGAUACACAAUGGAGUAUUACUUGGCAAUCAAAAAGAAUGAAAUCUUGCCGUUUGCAACGACGCGGAUGGAACUGGAGGGUAUUAUGCUAAGUGAAAGUGCUCAGUCAGAGAAAGACAAACAUCAUAUGACUCCACUCACAUGAGGACUUUAAGAGACAAAACAGAUGAACGUAAGGGAAGGGAAACAAAAAUGAUAUAAAAACAAGGAGGGGGACAAAACAGAAGAGACUCUUAAAUAUGGAGCAGACGGUUAC